AUUUCAAAGAUACACCUUUAAAAGGGAGGAAUGCCAUUCUGCGAGGUAUAUGCCCACAGAUUUUUGGACUCUUCACUGUAAAGCUUGCAGUUGCAUUAACACUUAUUGGAGGUGUGCAACAUGCUGAUGCUUCUGGGACGAAAGUUCGAGGAGAGUCUCAUUUGCUUCUGGUUGGUGAUCCAGGUACUGGAAAGUCUCAAUUCUUGAAGUUUGCUGCUAAAUUGAGCAAUAGAUCAGUUAUUACUACUGGUUUAGGAAGCACUAGUGCUGGAUUGACAGUUACUGCAGUCAAG